rnacentral:rRNA from 1 species
UACGUAGGGGGCAAGCGUUGUCCGGAUUUAUUGGGCGUAAAGAGCUCGUAGGUGGUCUGUUGCGUCGGUUGUGAAAACCCGGGGCUUAACUCCGGGCCUGCAGUCGAUACGGGCAGACUAGAGUUCGGCAGGGGAGACUGGAAUUCCUGGUGUAGCGGUGAAAUGCGCAGAUAUCAGGAGGAACACCGGUGGCGAAGGCGGGUCUCUGGGCCGAUACUGACACUGAGGAGCGAAAGCGUGGGGAGCGAACAGG